rnacentral:rRNA from 1 species
AUACGUAGGGUGCAAGCGUUAAUCGGAAUUACUGGGCGUAAAGCGUGCGCAGGCGGUUUUGUAAGACAGUGGUGAAAUCCCCGGGCUCAACCUGGGAACUGCCAUUGUGACUGCAAGGCUGGAGUGCGGCAGAGGGGGAUGGAAUUCCGCGUGUAGCAGUGAAAUGCGUAGAUAUGCGGAGGAACACCGAUGGCGAAGGCAAUCCCCUGGGCCUGUACUGACGCUCAUGCACGAAAGCGUGGGGAGCAAACAGGAUUAGAUACCCUGGUAGUCCACGCCCUAAACGAUGUCAACUGGUUGUGGGGUCUUCAUUGACUCAGUAACGAAGCUAACGCGUGAAGUUGACCGCCUGGGGAGUACGGCCGCAAGGUUGAAACUCAAAUGAAUUGGCGGGG